AAUCAAAGCUACUGCUCAUGUUUGCAUUGAGCUAAGAUUGCAGGCGCGUGAACUGUUCACACCACCAAAAAUGGCUAGGACUGAAGCAAGCCACCCACCUCAACCUCCCAAAGUGUUGGCAUCACAGGCAUGAUCCACCACACUCAGCCUUGAAACCAGAUUUAAAUAUCUCAGCCCAGACAGUGUCUUAACAGAAACAGAACAGCUGAGGCAAAAAAAGAAGAUUCUCUUAGCCCAAAGUCAGUGCCCUCAUCCAAACUACUUAGUUGUGAUCACCAGUACCGUGUAUCUUUAGCCAAAUCUGAAUUAAUCUGUUCAGAAUGAACAAGCAGAAUAGUCUUUGGAUUUGAUCCAAAUCCCUGAAGCACUUUGGGAAUGAGAAUGGCUAUGCCAGACAGAGAGACCCUGGCGACUUAUGAUACUGCAGAACACAACAGGCACUUCAGAUUGGUCCCAGUUAAGUUGAGGGAGAGCAGUGAUAUUGAGCAGUCAGCUAAAGAAACAAAGCUGUAGAGGCAAGAUUCCUUUUGUACUGGCUUGUGUAGGCAAAAGAAAGCAGUAUAGAGAUUUAUUCUCCCACUGGCAUGAAAGCUGUGAUUCUGACCACCUUCUACAUCACUGUCUACCACCCCUACACCAGCUCUUAGAAGACAGAGUAACUGCAGGAUGCUGUGGUACCUGGAGUGAUGCCAGACUGCAGAGGCCACCUGGUGACAUGAGGAGAGAUUCAACUUAACAUGGUGAGGAUGGCAGAGUAGAGCUAAAGUGGAAAAAGCAUUUCCCUGAUGAAUUUAAGAAGCUACUGAAUAAAUAUGUCUGGAAGUACCUAA